GUGAUUGAGGGAGGGAAGAACUGGCAGGGUGAGGGAGGAAAUAAGGGAGAGAAGAACUGGCAGGGUAAGUUAGGGAGAAAGGGAAGGGAAAAAAAGGCAGAAACAGGCAGGAAGGGUAAGAAAUGAAGGGACAGACAGUUUUUACCUAGUUGUAGUUUUAUGGGGCCUGGGCUUAACCUCGUGUGGUCCCAUCUCGAUAUCUGUAUUUAUCCUGUUUUUCCUUAAAGUUAUGCACACGAUAUCUGUAUUUAUCCAGUUUUUCCUUAAAGUUAUGCACACGAUAUCUGUAUUUAUCCAGAUUUUCCUUAAAGUUGUGCACACGAUAUCUGUAUUUAUCCAGAUUUUCCUUAAAGUUGUGCACACGAUAUCUGUAUUUAUCCAGAUUUUCCUUAAAGUUAUGCACACGAUAUCUGUAUUUAUCCAGUUUUUCCUUAAAGUUGUGCACACGAUAUCUGUAUUUAUCCAGUUUUUCCUUAAAGUUAUGCACACGAUAUCUGUAUUUAUCCAGAUUUUCCUUAAAGUUGUGCACACGAUAUUUGUAUUUGUCCAGAUUUUCCUUAAAGUUGUGCACACGAUAUCUGUAUUUAUCCAGAUUUCCCUUAAAGUUAUGCACACGAUAUCUGUAUUUAUCCAGAUUUUCCUUAAAGUUAUGCACACGAUAUCUGUAUUUAUCCAGUUUUUCCUUAAAGUUAUGCACACGAUAUCUGUAUUUAUCCAGUUUUUCCUUAAAGUUAUGCACACGA